GAAUGGGGCUUCCUACAGCCUCCUUGGAAACCUAUGCCUCCGUGACUCGCCACUGUGGGUCUCUGGCCCCAGUGUUAGGCACAAGGCUGGGGCGAAGCCUGAGGUAGUGGUGUCUCAGGGUCACGCUCUCUGCUCAGGCUCCAGGGGCUGACCCUCCCUGCCCCACCUGGCCGCGGGCUCCGGGCACUCCUGGGCUUCUGGCUGCAUCCCUCUGACUUCUGCCCCCAUGUCACGGGGCCUCCUCCUCCAUGUUUGUGUCUCUCUUCUGCUUCUCGUGAGGACACUUGCUGCUGGACGUAGGGACCAACCAGAUAGUCCAGAAUGCUGGCUUCCCGUGGACAUCCCCACCCAGCUCGUCUCACAUUGCAGGACCAGUCAGACCAGAAGCUCUGGAAGGACCCAGAUCCACCAGGGAGCACUUACCUCCUCCUCCCAGAACUCCCAAGUGGGCCUUGCUGCGAGGCACAGAAGGCAUAAGGCUGCUCCUGCUCGAAGUCCAUCAACGCCUGUCACCGGGCUUCUGCAUUUGAUUGUUUCACAGCUAUUAUUGUUUUAAAUAGUUG
ensembl:lncRNA